rnacentral:lncRNA from 1 species
AAAAAAAAAUUUAAGGAAGGGGAGUCGAUGCUAGGUCAAUUAGCACAGCCGGGGGAGCAAGGGAGCAGAACCCCCAGCGCCGCGGCCGGCGCAGCCCGUUAACUCAAGUCUGCGGGGGUGUCCCGCCCCGGGCGGGGGGAGCGCUGACCGGCAGAAGUUUGCCGCCGGGGUGCCGGGAGGUGCGCGCAGAGCGGGGUGACUAGGGGCUUCCCCCUUGAAACAAGUGAAGGCGAUGGUUAGUGCUGUCAAUCUUGGCAAUCAGUGUGAGCGGCCAUGUCGUAAGUAUUCAAAGCAUUUCCCGUCGUGCAACAUCAGAAAGUGAGUGGCCAGGGCAUUGAUCUGAGCGAGGGAGAGGAGGCAGGGCUCCCCUCCCAGACAACACAGGCAAAGACAAGAGAGCGCCGAAGAGAGAGAGGGCAGAGAUCGGCGAGAGCGGAGGUUGGAAGUGGAGAAAGCGCCUGGGAAGAGAGGGCGAAGCGACUGCUAGGAGAGAAUUGGAAGAGGAUAAAGAAGGAGAGUUGGGGUCAGAGGGGAAUGGUAACAAGUAUUAGGUGGGAGAGAGAGAGACCGAGGAGUAAAGGACCCAAGGCUGGGAAUGCUGGGAGGAGGAGUCAAGAGGAAGGCAAACUGAAGUGGGGAAAAGGUAGACGACUGAGGAGAAAGAAAGGAGCAAUGUGGAGAAAAGGAGGAAGUAACGUAGGAGACAAAAAUGUAGGGAUGGUAGUUUGUGCUUUGAAAAAGUUAUGACAGAGAAGGAAUAGGCUGAAUGUUAAGAAGAACUGAGAUGAAGAACUGGACAACAAGAGUGAGUCAUGGGAGAUACAGAGAAGGGGAAGGAGAGGGACCGAAGCAGGAAGAAGGAAAGAAGGGUGAAUAUCAGGAUGAAUAAGAAGAAGAAAGAAGGAAAUGAAAAAGAGAAGUUGUCAAAAAAUAGUAAAGAAAGAGAUGCAGGAAGCAGGGAUAAAAGAAAACACACCGGCUAGUAGGAGCUCAGUAAAUGGAGGAAGAGAAAUUUAUUUUAAAAGAUGGAGGAGGAAGAAUUGAAAGAAAAAAAAAAAGAAAAACCAAUUGACAUAGGAAAUUUUCACCACAUGUAGGUGGCAAUUUUCUGGAGGCCAUGUGGAUUAUGGAGUUUAUGGGUUAAAAUUAUUAGAAGUAACAAGACAUGUACCAACUGCCAAAGAAAAAUGACUAUACCUUUACAACAAUAAAUAAAAUAGUUUUACAUUUAUUAUAUGGAUUAGUUUGUGUUAGGUGGAAUUUGAUGGGUGAUGUAUGUGUAUUAUCUCAACUUUGUAGAGGAAAAGAUUUGGAGAAAAAAUUUCAAGAAGAGUGGUUGGAAGUUGUAGAAAAUGAAGAGUGUCAGUCACCCAGGACAGCAUGUAAAAACAAGUAAGUUAGACGUAGAAAAUUAUGUUAUUAAAAGCCCUCCCCCCAAAAAACCCUACAUAAAUUAAAGAUUCUGUUUGAUGCAUGUGUAGGGUACAUAAAAGAUUUGAAGGAUAUAGAAUGGCCUAAAGGAGCAGAGACCUGGAACUUGAUCUCAGUGCAAAAAAGCUGGAAGACUGGGAGAAGAGGAAAUACUGUUGAUGUCAGGUAGUAGAGAUGCAGAGUAAAAGAGACAGAGAGAAGACCAGCUUUGACAAUAGGAGACACAGAGCUAACUAGAGGCAGUGUGCAUGGAGG